rnacentral:rRNA from 1 species
CAACAGCUCAAAUUUGAAAUCUGGCCCUUACGGGUCCGARUUGUAAUUUGUAGAGGAUGCUUUUGGCAAGGCGCCGCCCGAAUUCCCUGGAACGGGACGCCACAGAGGGUGAGAGCCCCGUCUGGCUGGCCGCCGAGCCUCUGUAAAGCUCCUUCGACGAGUCGAGUAGUUUGGGAAUGCUGCUCAAAAUGGGAGGUAUAUGUCUUCUAAAGCUAAAUAUUGGCCAGAGACCGAUAGCGCACAAGUAGAGUGAUCGAAAGAUGAAAAGCACCUUGAAAAGAGGGUUAAAUAGUACGUGAAAUUGUUGAAAGGGAAGCGCUUGUVACCAGACUUGGGCGCGGCGAAUCAUCCGGGGUUCUCCCCGGUGCACUUCGCCGCGUCCAGGCCAGCAUCAGUUCGACGCGGGGGAAAAAGGCUUCGGGAAUGUGGCUCCCUCGGGAGUGUUAUAGCCCGUUGCGUAAUACCCUGCGUCGGACUGAGGACCGCGCAUCUGCAAGGAUGCUGGCGUAAUGGUCACCAGCGACCCGUCUUGAAACACGGACCAAGGAGUCGUCUUCGUAUGCRAGURUUCGGGUGUCAAACCCCUAC